rnacentral:rRNA from 1 species
AGAGGAGUGGCGAACGGGUGAGUAACACGUGGGUAACCUGCCCAUCAGAAGGGGAUAACACUUGGAAACAGGUGCUAAUACCGUAUAACAAUCGAAACCGCAUGGUUUUGAUUUGAAAGGCGCUUUCGGGUGUCGCUGAUGGAUGGACCCGCGGUGCAUUAGCUAGUUGGUGAGGUAACGGCUCACCAAGGCCACGAUGCAUAGCCGACCUGAGAGGGUGAUCGGCCACAUUGGGACUGAGACACGGCCCAAACUCCUACGGGAGGCAGCAGUAGGGAAUCUUCGGCAAUGGACGAAAGUCUGACCGAGCAACGCCGCGUGAGUGAAGAAGGUUUUCGGAUCGUAAAACUCUGUUGUUAGAGAAGAACAAGGAUGAGAGUAACUGUUCAUCCCUUGACGGUAUCUAACCAGAAAGCCACGGCUAACUACGUGCCAGCAGCCGCGGUAAUACGUAGGUGGCAAGCGUUGUCCGGAUUUAUUGGGCGUAAAGCGAGCGCAGGCGGUUUCUUAAGUCUGAUGUGAAAGCCCCCGGCUCAACCGGGGAGGGUCAUUGGAAACUGGGAGACUUGAGUGCAGAAGAGGAGAGUGGAAUUCCAUGUGUAGCGGUGAAAUGCGUAGAUAUAUGGAGGAACACCAGUGGCGAAGGCGGCUCUCUGGUCUGUAACUGACGCUGAGGCUCGAAA